rnacentral:rRNA from 1 species
CCACGCGUUGAAUUUAA